GACGAACGCUGGCGGCGUGCCUAAUACAUGCGAGUUGAGCGAUGAAGAUUGGUGCUUGCACCAAUUUGAAGAGCAGCGAACGGGUGAGUAACGCGUGGGGAAUCUGCCUUUGAGCGGGGGACAACAUUUGGAAACGAAUGCUAAUACCGCAUAACAACUUUAAACAUAAGUUUUAAGUUUGAAAGAUGCAAUUGCAUCACUCAAAGAUGAUCCCGCGUUGUAUUAGCUAGUGGGUGAGGUAAAGGCUCACCAAGGCGAUGAUACAUAGCCGACCUGAGAGGGUGAUCGGCCACAUUGGGACUGAGACACGACCCAAACUCCUACGGGAGGCAGCAGUAGGGAAUCUUCGGCAAUGGACGAAAGUCUGACCGAGCAACGCCGCGUGAGUGAAGAAGGUUUUCGGAUCGUAAAACUCGGUUGGUAGAGAAGAACGUUGGUGAGAGUGGAAAGCUCAUCAAGUGACGGUAACUACCCAGAAAGGGACGGCUAACUACGUG
rnacentral:rRNA from 1 species